CUAUCUCAGAUUUCCAUCUGCUUAUUUCAAGGAAGCGGUGGAAAUCUUGCACAAGUGUCUGGAGGCAGUUUGGUACAAACGAAGCAAUCAGCGAAUUGGCAGAAAUGCCACACCUUUAACAUAUGAAUCGGACUCUCAACCCAGAACGCCUAUUAUCUGCCAAAGCUGUAUAGCUGAGUCCUCUGUCUCAAACUCACUAUGCUGCGUUUCCCCCAACUCCUCAUCUACAACAUGGAGAUAAUGCUACUGGCCUGUCUUUCAGUGCUGUUGCAAAUUUUCCUGACACAUGAGAAAUGCUUUGAACACUAUGAAAGUGCUAUAGAAAUGGAUAUGAACAGCAGAACAAGGAACAACAAUGUAACUAGAGGAAUUAACUCAAGAGAAGGAUCUGGAGAAGUUUAAAUACAGUAUCGGUAAUUCAGACUUGUUUAUUUACAACCAAGCUUAUGC